UCCUACGGGAGGCAGCAGUGGGGAAUAUUGCACAAUGGGCAAGCCUGAUGCAGCGACGCCGCGUGAGGGAUGACGGCCUUCGGGUUGUAAACCUCUUUCAGCAGGGAAGAAGCGCAAGUGACGGUACCUGCAGAAGAAGCGCCGGCUAACUACGUGCCAGCAGCCGCGGUAAUACGUAGGCGCAAGCGUUGUCCGGAAUUAUUGGGCGUAAAAGAGCUCGCAGGCGGCUUGUCGCGUCGGUUGUGAAAGCCCGGGGCUUAACUCCGGGUCUGCAGUCGGAUACGGGCAGGCUAGAGUUCGGUAGGGGAGAUCGGAAUUCCUGGUGUAGCGGUGGAAUGCGCAGA
rnacentral:rRNA from 1 species